rnacentral:rRNA from 1 species
GCCAGCAGCCAUUUCACCCUGCAACUCCCAGCUGGCAGCCCACUGAAGCUCAGCAGGUGGGAGCCUGGUCAGUACCUGGAUGGGAGACUCCUGGGGAAAACUAAGGUUGCAGCUGGAA